AGAGCUUUAGCUUAAUUCAAGUACCUGUUUUGCAUGCAGGAGAUGUAGGAUAAUGGCCUGCAAGUUCUA
rnacentral:tRNA from 1 species